AAUUUCUCUAUUUCUCAAUCUUUCUGUCUUUGUCUACUUAUCUGUUAUUUUUCUUUGUCUAUCAGUCUGUCUGUCUGUCUGUAUCUGUCUGUGUUGCAAUGGCCACCAGAUAUGUAUUUGACCCACAAAACCCCCAUUACCAAGAGGGGAAACGCAUGGUUCUUGAAAUGGAAAUUGAUCGCCUUGUAGCUGAAUGCAAGUUACAUUUCUUUUGGUUCCAGUACAUUGAACAUUAUCAGUCUUACAAGAAAUAUUCACUCCAACACACAGAGAGCAACUUUGGAGAGGAAACGUGCAGGCUCUGGAGGAGAACCUCCACGGACCUCUAAAAGGGUCUUUAGAGGGGUAGGUCGUGGCAAGCCAAGGGGAAGGCGAGGAGGGCGACGCAAAGCCUCAGCUACAGUCACAUACCCUCCGGUUGAGUGUUCCCUGUCAUCCAGUGUGGAGGUUCCCUCAGAAAUACUAAAUCCUCAAGAGGAAUUUGAGAAAAAUAUGGAGAGACUCUCAAAUAUUUUGGCAUCAUGUCUUUCUGCUGAGCCUCAAAGAAGCUCUGCUUCAUCAUGGUCUUUUCGACAGCAGAAAGCCUCAGGGCGCUGGAAAGAGGCAAGACCAUACCACCUACAAUGCCUUAUCGCAAAGGAGGCUGUUGGUCAUCCCUUGUGUUGCCUUUGCCACGAGCCUGCUGUUAUUAGGUGCAGAGAGUGUCUUCCUGAGGAUUGGUUCUGUGGGGACUGUGAUGUAUUGCAUCACAAAAAGCAGCCACUCCACAACAGGGAAAGUGUGAUUCGUGGGUUUUUUGAAGCCAUUCCUCCAACCUCAUGCAUCAUUAAAGGAGAAGGUGGAUAUUGCACCCAUGAGCAAGCUUGCAUUUUGCCAACUGUGAAGGUGCCAGACUGCUCCUGUGAAGGCACAAACUUCACUGUAUUACCAGGCAAACCGGUGAUUUUGAUUACCAUCAAUGGUAAAAACAAUAUACACUACUUAGAUUUCUAUUUUAGAUUUGAUGUUUUUCAUACUGGUGUGCUGUGA